GCUGUGAAUAAUGUGCAUUAAAAAAUUGUAUCUUUACCAUAGGACAUGGGUUUGUCAACUGAAAUCAAAGUUUUUGACCUUGACCUUUGACCUAGGAAGUUGUAAAUAAAUUAUGACAUACCCUUUGGUGUUGGUUUAUAAACAUGUCAAGUAUAAACUUUGAAAUGAUAACGGUUCUCAAGAUAUAGAGCGGACACGAUCUUUACCAUAGGACAUGGGGUUGACAACUGAAACCAAAGUUUUUGACCUUGACCUUUGACAAAGGAAGUUGCACAUAAAUUAUGACACACCCUUUGGUGUUGGUUUAUAUACAUGUCAAGUAUAAACUUUGAAAUGAUAACGGUUCUCAAGAUAUAGAGCGGACACAAUCUUUACCAUAGGAUAUGGGGUUGUCAACUGAAACCAAAGUUUUUGACCUUGAACUUUGCCCUAGGCAGUCGUUCAUAAAUUAUGACACACCCUCUGGUGUUGGUUCAUAUACAUGUCAAGUAUAAACUUUGAAAUCAUAACGGUUCUCAAGAUAUAGAGCGGACACGAUCUUCACCACAGGACACAGGGUUGUCAACUGAAACCAAAGUUUUUGACCUUGACCUUUGACCUAGGAAGUUUUACAUACAUCAUGACACACCCUCUGGUGUUGGUUAAAAUGGAUGUCAAGUAUAAACUUUGAAAUCAUAACGGUUUUUAAGAUAUAGAGCGGACACAAAGUUAAAGUGUUACGGACGGACGGACGGACAGACGGACGGACGGACGGACAGACUGAUCACUAUAGGGCGACCCGCCUUAGUCGGCGGGGCCCUAAUGAACG
rnacentral:lncRNA from 1 species